UGGUUAGAAGAGCUGGUAUAUAUAAAUAGAUGAUAGGUAGAGAUAUAGAUGGCUAGAAGAGCUGGUAUAUAUAAAUAGAUGAUAGGUAGAGAUAUAGAUGGGUAGAAGAGCUGGUAUAUAUAAAUAGAUGAUAGGUAGAGAUAUAGAUGGUUAGAAGAGCUGGUAUAUAUAAAUAGAUGAUAGGUAGAGAUAAUGAUGGUUAGAAGAGCUGGUAUAUAUAAAUAGAUGAUAGGUAGAGAUAUAGAUGGGUAGAAGAGCUGGUGUAUAUAAAUAGAUGAUAGGUAGAGAUAUAGAUGGGUAGAAGGGCUGGUAUAUAUAAAUAAGAUAGGUAGAGAUAUAGAUGGUUAGAAGAGCUGGUAUAUAUAAAUAGAUGAUAGGUAGAGAUAUAGAUGGUUAGAAGAGCUGGUAUAUAUAAAUAGAUGAUAGGUAGAGAUAUAGAUGGGUAGAAGAGCUGGUGUAUAUAAAUAGAUGAUAGGUAGAGAUAUAGAUGGGUAGAAGAGCUGGUAUAUAUAAAUAGAAGAUAGGUAGAGAUAUAGAUGGUUAGAAGAGCUGGUGUAUAUAAAUAGAUGAUAGGUAGAGAUAUAGAUGGCUAGAAGAGCUGGUAUAUAUAAAUAGAUGAUAGGUAGAGAUAUAGAUGGGUAGAAGAGCUGGUGUAUAUAAAUAGAAGAUAGGUAGAGAUAUAGAUGGUUAGAAGAGCUGGUGUAUAUAAAUAGAUGAUAGGUAGAGAUAUAGAUGGGUAGAAGAGCUGGUAUAUAUAAAUAGAUGAUAGGUAGAGAUAAAGAUGGGUAGAAGAGCUGGUAUAUAUAAAUAGAUGAUAGGUAGAGAUAUAGAUGGUUAGAAGAGCUGGUGUAUAUAAAUAGAAGAUAGGUAGAGAUAUAGAUGGUUAGAAGAGCUGGUGUAUAUAAAUAGAUGAUAGGUAGAGAUAUAGAUGGGUAGAAGAGCUGGUAUAUAUAAAUAGAUGAUAGGUAGAGAUGUAGAUGGCUAGAAGAGCUGGUAUAUAUAAAUAGAUGAUAGGUAGAGAUAUAGAUGGGUAGAAGAGCUGGUGUAUAUAAAUAGAUGAUAGGUAGAGAUAUAGAUGGCUAGAAGAGCUGGUAUAUAUAAAUAGAUGAUAGGUAGAGAUAAAGAUGGGUAGAAGAGCUGGUAUAUAUAAAUAGAAGAUAGGUAGAGAUAUAGAUGGGUAGAAGGGCUGGGAUAUAUAAAUAGAUGAUAGGUAGAGAUAUAGAUGGUUAGAAGGGCUGGUAUAUAUAAAUAGAUGAUAGGUAGAGAUAUAGAUGGGUAGAAGAGCUGGUAUAUAUAAAUAGAAGAUAGGUAGAGAUAUAGAUGGGUAGAAGAGCUGGUGUAUAUAAAUAGAUGAUAGGUAGAGAUAUAGAUGGUUAGAAGAGCUGGUAUAUAUAAAUAGAUGAUAGGUAGAGAUAUAGAUGGGUAGAAGAGCUGGGAUAUAUAAAUAGAAGAUAGGUAGAGAUAUAGAUGGCUAGAAGAGCUGGUAUAUAUAAAUAGAUGAUAGGUAGAGAUAUAGAUGGGUAGAAGAGCUGGUAUAUAUAAAUAGAUGAUAGGUAGAGAUAUAGAUGGCUAGAAGAGCUGGUAUAUAUAAAUAGAUGAUAGGUAGAGAUAUAGAUGGUUAGAAGAGCUGGUAUAUAUAAAUAGAUGAUAGGUAGAGAUAUAGAUGGGUAGAAGAGCUGGUAUAUAUAAAUAGAAGAUAGGUAGAGAUAUAGAUGGGUAGAAGAGCUGGGAUAUAUAAAUAGAAGAUAGGUAGAGAUAUAGAUGGUUAGAAGAGCUGGAAUAUAUAAAUAGAUGAUAGGUAGAGAUAUAGAUGGGUAGAAGAGCUGGUAUAUAUAAAUAGAUGAUAGGUAGAGAUAUAGAUGGCUAGAAGAGCUGGUAUAUAUAAAUAGAUGAUAGGUAGAGAUAUAGAUGGGUAGAAGAGCUGGUAUAUAUAAAUAGAUGAUAGGUAGAGAUAUAGAUGGGUAGAAGAGCUGGUAUAUAUAAAUAGAAGAUAGGUAGAGAUAUAGAUGGCUAGAAGGGCUGGUAUAUAUAAAUAGAUGAUAGGUAGAGAUAUAGAUGGGUAGAAGAGCUGGUAUAUAUAAAUAGAAGAUAGGUAGAGAUAUAGAUGGCUAGAAGGGCUGGUAUAUAUAAAUAGAUGAUAGGUAGAGAUAUAGAUGGGUAGAAGAGCUGGUAUAUAUAAAUAGAUGAUAGGUAGAGAUAUAGAUGGGUAGAAGAGCUGGUAUAUAUAAAUAGAUGAUAGGUAGAGAUAUAGAUGGUUAGAAGAGCUGGGAUAUAUAAAUAGAUGAUAGGUAGAGAUAUAGAUGGGUAGAAGAGCUGGUGUAUAUAUAAAUAGAUGAUAGGUAGAGAUAUAGAUGGCUAGAAGAGCUGGUAUAUAUAUAUAAAUAGAUAGGUAGAGAUAAAGAUGGGUAGAAGAGCUGGUAUAUAUAUAAAUAGAUAGGUAGAGAUAAAGAUGGGUAGAAGAGCUGGUAUAUAUAUAAAUAGAUAGGUAGAGAUAAAGAUGGGUAGAAGAGCUGGUAUAUAUAUAAAUAGAUAGGUAGAGAUAAAGAUGGGUAGAAGAGCUGGUAUAUAUAUAAAUAGAUGAUAGGUAGAGAUAAAGAUGGCUAGAAGAGCUGGUAUAUAUAAAUAGAUGAUAGGUAGAGAUAAAGAUGGGUAGAAGAGCUGGUAUAUAUAAAUAGAUGAUAGGUAGAGAUAAAGAUGGGUAGAAGAGCUGGUAUAUAUAAAUAGAUGAUAGGUAGAGAUAAAGAUGGGUAGAAGAGCUGGUAUAUAUAAAUAGAUGAUAGGUAGAGAUAUAGAUGGGUAGAAGAGCUGGUAUAUAUAAAUAGAUGAUAGGUAGAGAUAUAGAUGGGUAGAAGAGCUGGUAUAUAUAAAUAGAUGAUAGGUAGAGAUAUAGAUGGGUAGAAGAGCUGGUAUAUAUAAAUAGAUGAUAGGUAGAGAUAAAGAUGGUUAGAAGAGCUGGUAUAUAUAAAUAGAUGAUAGGUAGAGAUAUAGAUGGGUAGAAGAGCUGGUGUAUAUAAAUAGAAGAUAGGUAGAGAUAUAGAUGGCUAGAAGAGCUGGUAUAUAUAAAUAGAUGAUAGGUAGAGAUAUAGAUGGGUAGAAGAGCUGGGAUAUAUAAAUAGAAGAUAGGUAGAGAUAAAGAUGGGUAGAAGAGCUGGGAUAUAUAAAUAGAUGAUAGGUAGAGAUAUAGAUGGGUAGAAGAGCUGGUGUAUAUAAAUAGAUGAUAAGUAGAGAUAUAGAUGGGUAGAAGAGCUGGGAUAUAUAAAUAGAUGAUAGGUAGAGAUAUAGAUGGUUAGAAGAGCUGGUAUAUAUAAAUAGAUGAUAGGUAGAGAUAAAGAUGGGUAGAAGAGCUGGUAUAUAUAAAUAGAUGAUAGGUAGAGAUAAAGAUGGUUAGAAGAGCUGGUAUAUAUAAAUAGAUGAUAGGUAGAGAUAUAGAUGGGUAGAAGAGCUGGUAUAUAUAAAUAGAUGAUAGGUAGAGAUAUAGAUGGGUAGAAGAGCUGGUAUAUAUAAAUAGAUGAUAGGUAGAGAUAUAGAUGGGUAGAAGAGCUGGUAUAUAUAAAUAGAUGAUAGGUAGAGAUAUAGAUGGGUAGAAGGGCUGGUAUAUAUAAAUAGAUGAUAGGUAGAGAUAUAGAUGGGUAGAAGAGCUGGUAUAUAUAAAUAGAAGAUAGGUAGAGAUAAAGAUGGGUAGAAGAGCUGGUAUAUAUAAAUAGAUGAUAGGUAGAGAUAAAGAUGGGUAGAAGAGCUGGGAUAUAUAAAUAGAAGAUAGGUAGAGAUAAAGAUGGCUAGAAGAGCUGGUGUAUAUAUAAAUAGAUGAUAGGUAGAGAUAAAGAUGGGUAGAAGAGCUGGGAUAUAUAAAUAGAUGAUAGGUAGAGAUAUAGAUGGUUAGAAGAGCUGGUAUAUAUAAAUAGAUGAUAGGUAGAGAUAUAGAUGGCUAGAAGAGCUGGUAUAUAUAAAUAGAUGAUAGGUAGAGAUGAAGAUGUGUAGAAGAGCUGGUAUAUAUAAAUAGAUGAUAGGUAGAGAUAAAGAUGGCUAGAAGAGCUGGUAUAUAUAAAUAGAUGAUAGGUAGAGAUAUAGAUGGUUAGAAGAGCUGUUAUAUAUAAAUAGAAGAUAGGUAGAGAUAUAGAUGGGUAGAAGAGCUGGUAUAUAUAAAUAGAUGAUAGGUAGAGAUAUAGAUGGGUAGAAGAGCUGGUAUAUAUAAAUAGAUGAUAGGUAGAGAUAUAGAUGGGUAGAAGAGCUGGUAUAUAUAAAUAGAUGAUAGGUAGAGAUAUAGAUGGGUAGAAGGGCUGGUAUAUAUAAAUAGAUGAUAGGUAGAGAUAUAGAUGGGUAGAAGUGCUGGUAUAUAUAAAUAGAUGAUAGGUAGAGAUAUAGAUGGUUAGAAGAGCUGGUAUAUAUAAAUAGAUAAUAGGUAGAGAUAUAGAUGGGUAGAAGAGCUGGUAUAUAUAAAUAGAUGAUAGGUAGAGAUAUAGAUGGGUAGAAGAGCUGGUAAAUAUAAAUAGAUGAUAGGUAGAGAUAUAGAUGGGUAGAAGAGCUGGUAUAUAUAAAUAGAUGAUAGGUAGAGAUAUAGAUGGGUAGAAGAGCUGGUAUAUAUAAAUAGAUGAUAGGUAGAGAUAAAGAUGGGUAGAAGGGCUGGUAUAUAUAAAUAGAUGAUAGGUAGAGAUAUAGAUGGGUAGAAGAGCUGGUAUAUAUAAAUAGAUGAUAGGUAGAGAUAUAGAUGGGUAGAAGAGCUGGUAUAUAUAAAUAGAAGAUAGGUAGAGAUAUAGAUGGUUAGAAGGGCUGGGAUAUAUAAAUAGAAGAUAGGUAGAGAUAUAGAUGGGUAGAAGGGCUGGUAUAUAUAAAUAGAUGAUAGGUAGAGAUAAAGAUGGGUAGAAGGGCUGGUAUAUAUA